GCAAAGCUAACUGUUUUUCUGCACCCUGUGAGAGUUCAUGGAUGGCUGCAGUCAUUAACUCUGAGGCCCACUGACUUAUUCAGUAGUACCGUUGAUGGAUCCAUCGUGUCAUGUUUUCAUUUCAGCACUUGUAGAUCUUGGGAGCUUUCCAGUGAGUGAGUCUGCACGUUUCCAGUGUUCACCCUGCUGGUGCUUCUAAAUUGGGGUUUUUGACACUGCCUGUUGUGACUUGAAGAAUUUUUUUUGUCUUAGAUGGCUUUCACCUGCACAGGGCUAGAGUGCUUCCUCCAGAAAUCGGCAGAGGGAUCAUAAACAAGCAACAACAAAUAAGCAAUCAAACAAAGAAACAAACAAAGAAACAUACAAACAGGGAAAAAAAAAUCCUUUUAAAUAAAAUUUUUAAAUUAUUUUUGCUUUCAACAAGGAGACAGCCAACAUAGUUUUCACUACUGACCUGGGAAGGAAAAGGUCCUGCUGAUUUCCAGUAAAAUUCUGCUUGAUAAAAUCUUUUUAUGGUGGAUAUUGAAAUUCCAGCCUCAGUGAAGGGAAUGAAAAAGUCUGGACAGAUGUAAAGGAAUUGGAUCCUUCCUCUCUAUGUUUCAGCACCAAGGAAGCAGAGUACAGGACUCAUUUUGAUCUGUUAACCUCAGAAAAGGUCCUGCUUUGUUGAGGGAAGUUGAUAUUGAGACCUCUCUGAGGAAAGGCUUACAAUUCCUUUUUCAUAUUGCUCAUCCAUUCCUACUGUUAACCUUUACCGCAGUCUUGCUGCAAAUGAAUGGGAUGGACAUUUAGGAUGGGAUCUAUGUAAUCUAGCUGUUGCCACCUAGAAAUUUAAUGUCUAAUUCUGGCUUUUUCCAUAGUUAGUAGAGAGACAGGAAAGAUCACCCUCUUUUAAAAGGUGUAUCUGAGGCAGAUGAGAUGAAAUUCCCAUGGGGAUAUCUACCAUGCUCCACUAAGUAUAUAAGACCUAGAGAACUGGUUUAGGAUACCCAGGUUUCCAGGAAUUUUUACCAUGUAACCCCUUCCCCUCUGCCUCUGACUUACAAUGCAGAUCUCACCAAAACCAAACUGUACAACAGUAUCAUAGAAAAUCAUUAUUUUCCUCCCUCUAUGACUUAUGUAUAUAUUAUACUCACCCCAAUGACAACCCAAGAUGAUUUUUUUGUUCCUCAGAGGAGAUUUAACCUGGCAUCUGAACAGCAUCUUACAUUUUUUCUGCCCUGACCUCCAAAAUAUAAAUGUACCCUGGCCCUGAGGACAUCUACAUCUGGAGCUGGCUCUGAACUUCAUGGUGGCCUCUGGAAUAAAAGCAAACCUCUAGAUAGCAACAUCUGUGAUCUCUGGAGGAAGUCAGAGCUGACCGUUAACUGCACAGUGCUGCUCAUCUCGGCCAGAAAUGAAGUUAUUAAAGGCAGCUUCUGCCUUGUGAUUUUUGGUUUGGGGGAGGAAAAAAGUAGAAUCCACUCUGCCUUACUACACAGUAUCUACCUGUCCUACUGGAUAUGUUAUGUGCUAUGUACUGAAAGAGAAAAGCCUAUGAAAUAAGGUAACAGUUGCUACACCCUUAGCCUUUGAUAAUCUAUGAUGAUAAUAAACCCAUCUGGUGGGUGGUUUCUCCGUCACUCGUGGGGUCACAUCAACACAUAUUAAGUUGCUGGCACAGAAGCACUCCAAUGACAUUGGUUUCAGGGGGUGGAAAAGCCCAUGAGAAGCAGAGGAGAAGGUUUUCCACACCUGAGGAAGGUCAACACAAAGUCUGAAAGAAACCAGACAAGUUUCUUUGCUAGGGGAGGAGAGGAAGGCUUUCAAAGAACUGUUUGCAGCUCCCUGAGCCUCCCACCUGAUGCGCGUCCUCUUGGCACAGGUUAGAGUAGCCCUCAGGCGACGUUUCCUACAAAACCACAUGCAAGUUGUGUGCAGCAAGAGUGCGGUGAACGCUCAUUGUGCCACCUCUGUUUCCCUCCAUCUUCCUGCCGCUAUCUGCCUCUUUGUAAGACCAGCAAGGUCAUCUGCAGCUUCCAGGAGCGUCCGUGGGCCUGGCUGCUGUUUACCCUCUGAUCUCGGGCGAGCUAACAGAAAAAACAUCCCAUCUCCUGUGACUGCUUUGAUCUGAAGUAGUUUGAAGACUAAUGCCUGAAAGUCAUGGUGGGGGGAGGAGGGAGCAAGAUGAAAGGGAUGAGGCAGAAAGGGGUUGUAUGUUUUGGUUAUUUGUGUUUUUCAAGAGAAGCCUGAAUAAAGACGCUCCUAAACAUCCCAACGGAGAUGUUCUGGGCAGCCUGCAGUGUCCCAAGGGGCUGUAUUACAGAGUGGCCUUUUUCUGAGGAGAAUACACGAAAAGCAUGUGGGAGAGAGCUUGUUUUCCACCAGGCAAAAUGAAGUCCUCAGAAGAGCCACAGCAUGCUGGCUGAGGCAGGAAGGCCUAGAGCACUUCCUUGGUAUGCAGACUUUAGCUUGGCAAGAAGACUUUGUUGGGCCUGGGAUGCCAAGCAAUUUGGACAGACUCCAGCCCCAUCACAGAAAUGCUCUCUGCCCGCCUCCGGGAGAAACAUUAAUUGGGCUCCUUGGGUCUUCCCGGUGCCACCGGCCCGCUCACCCCAUCACGAGCUGGAUGCAGGACCAGCUACCCAGAUGCAGCCACCUGGACUUAUCAGAACGAGCCUGAUUUUAAGACAUCUGAAACCACAGAAAGAAAACCCCUCGGUCUUCAGUGAUUCCAGAUCCCAACAUUCUUCAGGUCCUGCCGCAUGGAGGUUCCUGGCGAGCAACCAAAAUAUCGCCGUCCCAAACACAAUCCUACCACACUGUCACAUGUGGAUUCACCGUUUCUCCAGGCUAGGGAAGCUUUGCUACCAAAGAAGCAAGGGAAACAAUCAGAGGGUUUCAACUGUAAGAAACGUGCUUGAAUGAAAAACUUGCGAGUGCUCCAAGUAGAAGUGCCUGCUGAUUUCUCCCACGAUUGCGGGUUGAUAAAGUGCCUGGCCGGUGGCAGGAGGCAGGUAAGUCAGACAGCUGAGGAUUUGCCUGACAUUCAAGGAUUAAUACACAAGCAGAGAACACCUUGAUUUACAUCAGCUGUAUGGAAUAUGCCAUAAAAAGCCACAUCAGGGAGAGGAAAAAGCAUGAGCAAUUUUUGAACCUUGGUUGUGAUUCAGUGGCUAGAAACAGCAAGGGGAAUCACUGUCCUUACACAUUUUUAUCCCUGAUUACGGUAUGACAAUGAAUACUGUAUCCCUGAUUAGGGGUGACAGUAAACUGGGAUGACAGCAGAGUGGUAAAGCUUCUGCCAGAGAAGGAAGGGGACUGUGCAGCUGCCCUUUGCCCACUGGCCUGUGCGGAUGUCUUCCCAUGCCCCCAGCUUGCUGCAGGAGCGUGACAGUGGCCACGCCAAGGGGCCAUGGGAGCAAAUGUGUGGACUGAACAGGACUCUGAGAAAUAACUGCAGCUUUAGAGAUCCUUGAGGUCACGCAAAAAGAGCAGCAAAAUGUUGUAAGAAAAGUAAUACUGGAAAGCAAGAACAUAAAAAUAAGCAAAGCAAGAACAUGUGAUAUUUUCUGAGAAUGCUUUCCAAGUACCCAACAAUCUCCAGCUCAGGUGUUUCCAGGUGCAGUCCUUCAGAUUUAAAAGCCUUCCAUGCAUUUUCCUCCUGCAAUUUGACCACUAUGCUUUUUAAUCUCGUCAUCUCUUUUCCAGAGAUGUUAUUAGUCUCGUACAGAGCCCACUGCAUGCUUUUGUCACCCUCUGCACCUUUCCUGGUGCUUCUGUACCCCUUGAGACCAGAGCACAAGAGCGUGUCACAGAUUGAUGAUGGGUGAAAGCUCCUCUUUCCUCUGCCAGCUACAGCCACGGCAGCAGAGUCAGCAGGAAAGAGCUAAUGAAGGCAGCCCGCUACGAUCAGAGAAGUCGUUUCCCUGCUUGAUGCCUCGCUUCAGCAGUAACACUGCCACGUGCAUUGCUGCCAAGGUCCAUGGCUGCAGAUUCAAGCACGGCCAGUAGUUCCAAGGCCCCGACGGCUGUGCAUGGAUUAGGCAGAAAAGUAACCAGCCUGGAGCAAAGAGCAACUUCUCUCUGUGUGUGAGGGUGUGUGUUGCUGUACUUCUGUAACAGGAGUCAAAGUGCUGAGGAGAAAGCACGUACCCCCAUUUUUCAGGCUGCUAUUUUAGCACCGCAUCACUUUGCCUGAGAUUGUCAGGUGCUGUGUUAGUGUAACAGCUUUCCUUCAUCACCAGGGGUAUCCAAAACAAUGUUUACAUCAGUGGUCAGCAUAGAGCCCUCCUCCCUGAAAAAUUAAGUUUAUGCCUGGUUGGUAUAACAAGCGGAGACUGUUGAAGUAUUUGGUCAUUUAUGACAAGACCCCAGGGCCAUAUAAAUCUCUUUUAGGGCAGUGAGAGGCAGGUAGCCACCAGGACUGUAUCUGACCUACUGCAGAAUGUGGCAUCUGGCCAGUGAUGUGUCCUGGUUUGGCCGAUUCACCAAGUGGGUGUACCUGUGCAAAGUAUCAAACCACUAAAAACUUGCUGUGUUUGCUAUGUCCACGAAAUACAGAUUUAGGAAAGCGUGACAGCUUCUUUGCCUCUGUCCUCUGAGGCUGUCGUUCAGCCACGGAGUGCAAUUCCCUCCUUUGUGAUGAAGGGAAUUUGGCAUUCAGGCCCGGGAGGUGCCUGAGACCAGCCCACCUAAUAAGCUGUAGGUUUCUGAGGCUGUGAAUGCUCGGAUUUCUGCUCAAAGGUAAUCUCAGACAGGUCCUCAGUGGCGGUUUCUCUUCAGCCAACCUGCCUAUUUUUAUCAAACUCACAGAAACACACUUCCUGUGAGAUCACCAACCUCCAGUGAAAUUUUGAUGACAAUGCAUGCUGGAAUCAAGAGCUAUUAAUGAGGGGUGGACAGGUGGAGCCACACAGAGACACACUUCCCAGUGCAUGUGCCGAUAUACAAUUUUUUAGGAACCAGGCUAAAGCUUACCUUGUGUCUACUGUUGUCCCAACUCUCUGUGUGAAUCACAAAGUAGUUGUCCUAAUAUCGGAGAAAGAGGGAUGCAGAUUUUUUCUUUAAACCUGAAAAGAUAUCUAGGAAUAUGGGGAAAUGUGGGAGAGGCAUGUAUACGUAACAAAAAUGGUAAAUAAAUACUCAGUACUUUCCUGGGCAGCGAAAUAACAAAUCAAAGUUAAGAGAAACAGGAAACACAGAAACUCAUGUAAUGAGACUGCAGGUUAGUCUGAAAAUAACCUAAAAUUCUUCAGAAUUCACAGCAGCUUGCUGCAUCCCUUUCCUCCCAUCACGUUUGCAUCAUGGAAAAUUAGCUUUUUGCUGCUGAAAUCCACAGUUUCAGAUGAAUUUCUUAGCCAGGCCUAGAAAAGUACAUAAGUACCUAGUGUUUAUUCUAGGGGUUGUAAUUCUCAUUGAUCUCAAAGCCUUUGAGAAUCUGAGCUUAUUAUCUAUUGCACAAUUUUCAAAGCUGUCUAGGGUACCUGCUAAUGUAGGUAUCUGAGGUAACUGCUGGGAGCUCCAAAGGCCCUUUUAUUAGCCUGAACUAAAGCAAUUUUGGAUCCUUAAUUAAGUAGCACCAUUAUCAAAUCCAGGAGGAAAAAAAAAAUAAAAAAAAAAACAACCAACCAACCAAACAACAGGCUUGCACAGAGUAGAUUACACACUACUGUGGCUGUGUAAGAGCCCUGUCACCGCAGGUUUUGGAGUAACAGCCCUGCUGGGAAUUAAGACAAGGAAAACAAGGCGGGAGGAGGAUGCACUUUCCACCUGCCUUAAAUCAGAGCCAAGACCUCCUGCAUCGGGGAGUGCAAGUUCAGACUCUGGCAUGGUGCGGCCAUGGGGCAGGGCGGCAGCCCCAGGCUGAAGCCCCCCGAUCCUGCGUCAGGGCUGCUGACCCACGGGGCACGUGUGCUUCUUGGGCGGGGGGGUGAAGAGGUCCUAACUCAGCCUUGUAACCCCCUUCAGCUUGCAAAGGAGCUUGAAGAAAAAUAAACAGAGGCAAAGCCACGCUCCGCCCCUUGCUCACACGCCACCUCUUUUCAGGGGUGAAAGAGUGGCUCUAUUAGAGGCAGUGGAUAUGCUGAGCAGAGCCACCGCAUCUUUCUGGUGGGUAAGGAAAGGCAGCAGAGGCAGCAGCUGGAGCAGGCUGAAAGCUUUUUCUGAGUGGCACAGGAAAAGAAACCAUUAUGAGAGUGCGCUAAAAGGCUAUUCAUUGCUAAGGAAAGGGCUACUGAAGAAUGUGGGACACAUGCCGAAAGCUGCCAGCCAGAGCAACAGGAAGAUUAUUAAAGCCCUUUGCAAAGACCCCCAUCUCCUUCCUUUGGCAGUGGCGAUUCUGGACAUGGAAUCAUUUCAGACCUACCCAUUGAAAUCCUGUAAAUAGCUGUCUGCAGGGAGAGAGAAGCUGGGUUACAGCUACAGGGAUUUCUUCAUGUGGGAACUGUAGGUAAAACACCUAUAUCGUGACCAAAUACAGUUAGGAAGGAAGGCAAAUGCACACCCUGGAGAAGCUCUCCUUGAAUUAUCAGGCCGUAAGGGGAGUGACUGGAACUCCUAAAGGAAGCAAAUGUGGCUGUUUUCAGCUGUGCUCCUCAGCGGGGAGCAACGCCGACCUUCUCCAUGCUGGCUGCUUGUGUGGGGUCUGUGCAUGCAGGAGGCUGGGGCUAGGAAGGCUUUUCUGCCUUCAAAUUGGAAUAUUUUGCCCUGAGUAAGCAGCUCGCUGUACUGACAGACGAGAGAGCUGUCUCCUGCUUUCUGUCUCCCAGUUUCUGUCUUCCUUUCCUGCCUGCUCUUCCAUUUCUUUCCUUUUCCCACCUCAGCUUUUUAUCUCCUUGGAGCUGUUUGGGAAGAGUGCCUGUGAGACAAACCCUAGCCAAGGGGCACCCAUCCAAGGAACAAAGCCCCCGAAAAAUGCCUUGUACAAGCCAGGCUCUCUGCAAAGCCCCCGAAAAAUGCCUUGUACAAGCCAGGCUCUCUGCAGUGAUGCUGAUCCCAUGGCUCUUGACUUAAAUUGCUGUGCCCAUAACUAUUAACUUUUAGGGCCUGAUACAGUCCCUGCCUUCAGGGCACAACCUGGUGGGAGCCCAGUAGUGGUAGGUGCUGUACAGACACAGCAGGGAAAUGUCCUAACACGAAGGGUUUCUGCGGGCUGAGAAGAGAAGUGGCGGCAUGGGGAGGUAAAGUGACUUUCCCAAGCUCUUUGAUCUGCUUUGUCCCAUGCUGUCCCCUCCCUGGACCUGCACCAUAUAUUCAAAGGCAAUAGCAUAGCUCCGGGCUGGGAGCGUUGCUUUCCUGCCUCUAGGAACAGCUUGCCAGGGAAGCAGCAUGAAGGAGGAGGCAAGGUGGUACUCUUGUGGGAUUGUGAGGGUGACUACUCUUGGCUGUAAAGACACACCAACAUCUCUGCUUUCAUAUCCAAGGGUUUAAAAGUCAUGAGUCUGGUCCCUCCAAAAUCACUAGACUUUAUGGUUUAAAAAGCACGGGGUCUAAAAUAAAAAUAAGUGCAUGUUCUUUAUUUGCCUUUGAGUCAUAUUUUUGAGCUUUUCCCCCCAGAACCACAGUAUCUAUUCUGCCCUUUGGUUAGGGAACACAGGGCAUCUUCCUUGUUUGCUCACUCAGACAUAAUCACACGACUUUCUAGAACCUGAAGUCUUCGAGGCCCCUAACUCUCCAUCCACCUUCAUUAAAUUUGGUCAAUAGGUUCAAGUUAUGAGGGAAUCGAGUGGUAGAGAUACAUAUGCCCAUGCAUACCACCAUUAAAUACACAUUGUGUCCUUAGAAAAUAGGCCAGAAAUAGAGAUGUAAAAGGUUAUUGAUGCAUUUUAAAAGUAUAAAACUAAAUCUUCUCGGAGUGGAGGAAAGGAAAGACAUGGAAACACUUAAUGUGUUGGAAAAACAGCCCAGCGGCUGGACCAGGAGUCUCUCUGGAAAGAAAAAAGAACAUUCAAUAACCAAGUUCAGCUGAAGAAAAACCAUAGAAAACAAACUGCCAACACCAGGAAUUUGGGGAAAGGGUCAAUGCUGGAAAAGGGGGAGAAAAGAGCACAGAGAAUUACUUAGUUCAAGUAAAAACACAGCAGUACAUCUGAAGAACAUAACAGGGAGGCGCAUGUUGCAACUGGCCAGGAUGAAAAGAAUCAAAAAAGAAAGGAGAGGCAAACACAGUUUUAGAAGUAAUGACAGGGAAAUCAGAUUUUCAGGCAGAGCUCAGACAUGUUGGCUAAGUGGAGCCUUGUGAGCACUGCAUGAUGCUUAAUCCGAAAGGAAUCCCAAAUUCCAGUAACAAUAUCUACUUCAAGCCAGCAGAUGUACUGUCUCACCUAUGCCUUUGGGGCACAGAAAAAUACUGGUGUUUGUAGGUUUGCCCUUCCCUGCAUCCAUCCCGAAUCCUGACUUACCUGUGCAGGGGCCACAGCUCCUAAAGAGGCAAGAAAGGAGAAGUUCAGCUGGGCCCAGCUGAAAAAACAGUCAGGCCUCUGCGUGCAAAAGCCUCGUGGCAUUUUCACCCCAGCCUGGCCAGGACAGGAGUGCAGGUCACUUUGAUCUCCCUAGUUUCCCUCCCCCAAAUUAAAUGACUGAAGUGUUUAUCUGUUCUCUUCCAGGGGACCAGGAAGAGCUCAGAUACGUCUACUGCUGCAGCGCAUUUAUGCAAAUGGUGACUGGGUGCUACUCGGUCCCCUAAUGACCUGGUGCUGAGAAGAAAAAAAGGGUGCAGCCAGGGUACCCCAGGGCCUGCACAAGGAUGAACUCCUGCCAUGAGCCUCAUGAGCGUGGCCGCCCCUUGCUCCCAGCUGGAAACAGCCAGAGAGCGGCUUCAGGGCAAAUCACAAGAUCCAGCCUGAGCUGAGAAGGCGAAGCUGAUAGGGACAGGAGGUCACUAUGGUGGGUCUUGCAAGGUAGGAAGUUCCUCCGUGGAAAAACACCACCUCCUCCUACUUCUGCUCAAUCCAAACUACGGCGCAAGCAGCCGGGCACAGCCAUAUCCCACCCUCGGCAGCACGCUCGUCUGUCUUGUUGAUUCAGUUCAUUCCCUGUGGGGCAGGAUGGGGCAGGAUUUGGCCCUUUGUCUCUCAACGUCUGCACAAUCUGUGGGCUUUGCAAGCAGUGAACUGGAAAAAAUGAAGAGUUGACAAUUAAAUGCUCAAAAUCUGCUGGGACUUUGUCCGGAGUGGGCUAAGCAAACAAGUACAGAUGGAGUGACCUAUGAUCUGCACAUUUAAGGGUGUACUCUACACUGCUUCAUUUGGUUUAAUCAUCUUAAUUUACAAGCCAGGUUUCUUGCUUAAUUAGUCAAAUGAAGAAUGAAAAGUGAAUGCAUAGAAGUAAGCCUCAACUUGUUCAGCUGGCUUAUAACCUCCAUUACUGAGCUAGAAGAAUUAUGUUGAUUUGGUGUCUGAAGGUUUAAUGUGCCUCUUCACAUGGUGCAGAAAAUGAUGAAGAAUUGACAAAGAAAGGGAGCGAGCUGGUCAGUAGCCCUUGACCUCAAGGGCUCUCAGUGAAGGCCGAGGCAGUGACCGUAGGAUGCUCUUGGAAGGAUUAUUUUGGGUGAAGGAGGUUGCAAACCUUAGAGAUGCUGCUGUGCACGACACAGCAUUUGCUUGCAGACCCAGAGCAAGGUUCCCACUUCAUCCCCAAACGAUUCCCCCAGGAACACAAGAAAAUCGCUUAGGGGUUAGUGUCUUUCACGGGAGAGCAUCACCAGCCAGAUCCAGCAGGUUCUGGACACAUUUUUCUUCACGGGACAUUGACCACUGUUGAUCCCACUUACGUGGAACAACGUGAUACCAUCUCUCAUGUGCCUCCAGGCGGCUAAAGAGGACCACAGGGAAAACGGCAAAAAAAAUCUUUCCUAGUUCAGCAUUUUCAGACAAAACUGUUUUCAAGGAAUGAAUUCUGAUGAUAAGGCAGGGUUGGUUUUUUUCCACUUUGAAACCAAUCUUUUUCUAGAUUCAGAGGGCUGUUCCCUCCAUACUGUCAAAUAGAAAAAUGAUUUAAAAAUGUCUGA